rnacentral:rRNA from 1 species
GGAGGAAAGUAGGGGAUCGAAAGACCUUAUGCUUUUGGAGCGGCCGAUGUCUGAUUAGCUAGUUGGUAAGGUAAUGGCUUACCAAGGCAACGAUCAGUAGUUGGUCUGAGAGGACGACCAGCCACACUGGGACUGAGACACGGCCCAGACUCCUACGGGAGGCAGCAGUGGGGAAUUUUGGACAAUGGGCGCAAGCCUGAUCCAGCAAUGCCGCGUGAGUGAAGAAGGCCUUCGGGUUGUAAAGCUCUUUCAGUUGAGAAGAAAAGAUUGUAACUAAUAAUUGCAAUCCAUGACGGUAUCGACAGAAGAAGCACCGGCUAACUACGUGCCAGCAGCCGCGGUAAUACGUAGGGUGCGAGCGUUAAUCGGAAUUACUGGGCGUAAAGGGUGCGCAGGCGGUUUUGUAAGUCAGAUGUGAAAUCCCCGGGCUUAACCUGGGAACUGCGUUUGAAACUACAAGGCUAG